rnacentral:rRNA from 1 species
AGUGAACGCUGGCGGUAGGCCUAACACAUGCAAGUCGAACGGCAGCACAGUAAGAGCUUGCUCUUACGGGUGGCGAGUGGCGGACGUGUGAGGAAUACAUCGGAAUCUACUUUUUCGUGGGGGAUAACGUAGGGAAACUUACGCUAAUACCGCAUACGACCUACGGUUGAAAGCAGGGGAUCUUCGGACCUUGCGCGAUUGAAUGAGCCGAUGUCGGAUUAGCUAGUUGGCGGGGUAAAGGCCCACCAAGGCGACGAUCCGUAGCUGGUCUGAGAGGAUGAUCAGCCACACUGGAACUGAGACACGGUCCAGACUCCUACGGGAGGCAGCAGUGGGGAAUAUUGGACAAUGGUCGCAAGCCUGAUCCAGCCAUACCGCGUGGGUGAAGAAGGCCUUCGGGUUGUAAAGCCCUUUUGUUGGGAAAGAAAAGCAGCAGGUUAAUACCCCGCUGUUCUGACGGUACCCAAAGAAUAAGCACCGGCUAACUUCGUG